rnacentral:rRNA from 1 species
AAACUAACCAGGAUUCCCCUAGUAACGGCGAGUGAAGCGGGACAAGCUCAAAUUUGUAAUCUGGCUGCUUCGCAGUCCGAGUUGUAAUCUCGAGAAAUGUUUUCCGCGCUGAGGGCAUACAAGUCUGUUGGAAUACAGCGUCAUAGUGGUGAGAACCCCGUAGAUGAUGCCCAGCCCAGUGCUUUGUGAUACAUUUUCGAAGAGUCGAGUUGUUUGGGAAUGCAGCUCAAAUUGGGUGGUAAAUUCCAUCUAAAGCUAAAUAUUGGCGAGAGACCGAUAGCGAACAAGUACCGUGAGGGAAAGAUGAAAAGCACUUUGGAAAGAGAGUUAACAGUACGUGAAAUUGUUGGAAGGGAAACGCUUGAAGUCAGACUUGUCGGUUGGUGUUCAGCAGCAAUGUGUACUCAUCAACCAACAGGCCAGCAUCAGUUUUGCUCGCUUGAAAAGCACUUGAAGAACGUGGCUCCUCGGAGUGUUAUAGCUUCUUGUUGGAUCGAGCGAGUGGGAUUGAGGUAUGCAGCGUGCUUUUUGCGACACCCUCGGGUGUUCCACGCUUAGGAUGCUGGUGGAAUGGCUUUAAACGAC